GAUGAACGCUGGCGGCGUGCCUAAUACAUGCAAGUCGAGCGAACGGACGAGAAGCUUGCUUUUCUGAUGUUAGCGUCGGACGGGUGAGUAACACGUGGAUAACCUACCUAUAAGACUGGGAUAACUUCGGGAAACCGGAGCUAAUACCGGCUAAUAUUUUGAACCGCAUGGUUCAAAAGUGAAAGACGGUCUUGCUGUCACUUAUAGAUGGAUCCGCGCUGCAUUAGCUAGUUGGUAAGGUAACGGCUUACCAAGGCAACGAUGCAUAGCCGACCUGAGAGGGUGAUCGGCCACACUGGAACUGAGACACGGUCCAGACUCCUACGGGAGGCAGCAGUAGGGAAUCUUCCGCAAUGGGCGAAAGCCUGACGGAGCAACGCCGCGUGAGUGAUGAAGGUCUUAGGAUCGUAAAACUCUGUUAUUAGGGAAGAACAUAUGUGUAAGUAACUGUGCACAUCUUGACGGUACCUAAUCAGAAAGCCACGGCUAACUACGUG
rnacentral:rRNA from 1 species